rnacentral:rRNA from 1 species
GCGAAGAACCUUACCAGGUCUUGACAUCCUCUGAAAACCCUAGAGAUAGGGCUUCUCCUUCGGGAGCAGAGUGACAGGUGGUGCAUGGUUGUCGUCAGCUCGUGUCGUGAGAUGUUGGGUUAAGUCCCGCAACGAGCGCAACCCUUGAUCUUAGUUGCCAUCAUUAAGUUGGGCACUCUAAGGUGACUGCCGGUGACAAACCGGAGGAAGGUGGGGAUGACGUCAAAUCAUCAUGCCCCUUAUGACCUGGGCUACACACGUGCUACAAUGGACGGUACAAAGAGCUGCAAGACCGCGAGGUGGAGCUAAUCUCAUAAAACCGUUCUCAGUUCGGAUUGUAGGCUGCAACUCGCCUACAUGAAGCUGGAAUCGCUAGUAAUCGCGGAUCAGCAUGCCGCGGUGAAUACGUUCCCGGGCCUUGUACACACCGCCCGUCACACCACGAGAGUUUGUAACACCCGAAGUCGGUGGGGUAACCUUUUGGAGCCAGCCGCAUAAGU